GUAGUGCUUCUCAAAUGUUAAUGUGCAUAUGCCAAAUCACGUGGGCAUCUUGUUAAAAUGCAGAGUUUUGAGUUGAGGGUCUGGGGAGGGCUGAGAUUGUGCAGUUCUAAGGAGAUGCCAGGUGGUGCCAAUUCUGCUGCACUGGACACCACACUUAGAGUGGCGAGGUCACUAAAUAAUAGGAGCGAAAGGAUUGUGAGAACACCGACAUCAGUGAGAAGGAGGCUGGCUGCAGAGACCAUGAAAAUGAAAUCUAUGCAUGGAGUGCAACCUUGCUGAGAAUAUUUGUUUCCUUUCUAUAUUGUCUCUCCAUGGCCUGCUCGUUCCCUUCAGGUACCAUCUAUACAAUCCUAGAAUGAAGUUCAAAGUCAACAAAGCUCAUCAUGUGCUCAGAGUUUCAAAUCAGGUUUUCUUCUCUACUGAAUGGGGCUACCACACGGUCAGGAGGAAGAGACUCACAAAGAAAGAUGAAGGUUGCAGAGAGGUGCUGUGGAAAUAGCACAUGCUGAAGGAGUCUUCUAAGCAGCCCAGAGGCGAUGACAUACCAGUGUCAGCAGAGGAGGAGAACCACGCUUCAGUAUAACAAAAACUUCAGUGAAUCAUGCUCGAUGUGGAAAAGUUGAAUAGACAUGGCUAAGGAUAAAAGAAAAAAAAUACACAUAAUCUCACUACCCAGAGAGAAGCAAUGUUGAUAUAUUUCUCUUCUUCAAUGAAUAUUUACAUAUUGUUGAUAUUUUACUGUCUGUGCAAUUUUGCUUUAAUUAAACAUUUAAAUUAUGAAAUAA